GCCUUCAAAGGAGCCUUGUACACAAUCUCUAGGUGAGGAAUGACUUUGUAAUCCGAGGCAUAAGAGGAGAGUGUGCACAGAGGAGAGAUCAUGUGAGGACACAGCGAGAAGACAAUCAUCUGUAAGCCAAGGAGAGAGGCCUCAGAAAAAAAUCCACCCUGCUAAGAGCUUGAUCUUGGACUUACAGCCUCCAGGACUGUGAGUAAAUAAAUUUCUGUUUUAUAAGCCA